rnacentral:rRNA from 1 species
AGCGGCGGACGGGUGAGUAAUGUCUGGGAAACUGCCUGAUGGAGGGGGAUAACUACUGGAAACGGUAGCUAAUACCGCAUAACGUCGCAAGACCAAAGAGGGGGACCUUCGGGCCUCUUGCCAUCAGAUGUGCCCAGAUGGGAUUAGCUAGUAGGUGGGGUAAUGGCUCACCUAGGCGACGAUCCCUAGCUGGUCUGAGAGGAUGACCAGCCACACUGGAACUGAGACACGGUCCAGACUCCUACGGGAGGCAGCAGUGGGGAAUAUUGCACAAUGGGCGCAAGCCUGAUGCAGCCAUGCCGCGUGUGUGAAGAAGGCCUUCGGGUUGUAAAGCACUUUCAGCGAGGAGGAAGGUGGUGAGCUUAAUACGCUCAUCAAUUGACGUUACUCGCAGAAGAAGCACCGGCUAACUCCGUGCCAGCAGCCGCGGUAAUACGGAGGGUGCAAGCGUUAAUCGGAAUUACUGGGCGUAAAGCGCACGCAGGCGGUUUGUUAAGUCAGAUGUGAAAUCCCCGGGCUCAACCUGGGAACUGCAUU